GAAAUCGGUAUCCGAGGGUAACCGAGCUGAAAGAAUGAAAAAUAAAUGUAUGCUAAAAGUAAUCUUGCUUUUGAACUCGGUGUACAUAGUGAUGUAAUAUUCUUUACAGUGAUUUUGGAAAAUAAAACAACUUUAGUGUUUCUUAGCAACUCCAAGCACUCUGAUCUCUGCUUCCACAAUGCAAAUAUCAUUAACCAGAAGGGACUUCUUGAAUCGAGAUAAAUAAUGGAGUGGAGUGAAUCUUGACCAUCCAUGUUUUGGGCUUGACUCACUGAAGCAGAAAUUUCCUUUACCAACAAUGUGCCUGUCCUUGGCUUGAUCCAGGAGGCGCAGUGUGACAUGUGUGUAUAUUAUAGAGCUAGGAGGAAUGGGUUCUGCCAAAGCUAAAUAUAGUGAAAGAUAGGACCCUUCUCUAAGUCCUGUUCCCUCAGGAUAGAGCUCUAUCAUCCACUGUCGAUCUCCAGCACUGAAAAUCAUCUUAAGAGGAUAUGUUUUUAACUUGGAAAACUUUUCGAUCUUCCAUGAUUUCUUGGCAUCAGGGAGUUCCUUUGUCAUCGUAAAGGACUCUCGUUUGCCAGUUAUCGUUUCCUUACGCACAGAGACCACUUCUGCUCCCAUAACACAAGUGUCAUUCACAAUGUAUCCAUUACUAGCAUCAAAAAAUUCAGUAAUACCAAUGAAUUUAUCAAAACCCCAUUCAAGUUUCGAUUUGUGAAAGCAUCUGUCCUUUCCCCGAGUAUCUGGGACUGGGGCUAUCAAGUCGUUGUGGUUUUGCUGAUCAAGCAAGUACAGGCAGAAAACUGCAUAGACCUCUUCAUCUUCAUGCUCAACAGAGUCUGCCAGUGCUAAGUAGAAAGAAAUGUGAUGCGUCACAUGCUUUGUCUUGUUUCCGCUUGGAUAGAGAACCAAUUUCCAUUUGCAGCCUUCAGCUUCAAAAACUGCUGAUUCAUAUUUCUUCAUUGCAUUUUUAAGUUCUCCAAAAUUGUGUAUUUGAACAACAUAAUAGCCAGGUGAUUCAUCUAAUUACAGAUCAUGAAUAAUAAAAGAUAUUAUCACUUUAUAAUAACAACUUGUCUAUAUUCAUAUAAAGAAAGUUUGGCCAUAAGGAAAGAAAGUUUGAUUUAAAUGUCAGGGCAAUAAAAACAAUGGAAACCUUAAGAGAGAGAUAGAGAGAGAAAGAAAGCCAAAGCAUACCCAUGGUUGGAGAUCUACAAAAAGAAUGCGUGGAUCCGUGUAAAUCUGAAAAUUCUUGUCCUAUUUGUAGUAAGAAGUGGUAGAAAAUUAUUAUUCCAAACUUGAAAGUUGUUCAGGAUACAUAAAAAAAUUUAUUGGAAGAUUGUUUUGUGAUACUGAUAAUUUGGAAUAGAAUUGAAUUCCCUCCUUGCAGGCGGGGGUACACUGCUAAAUUGAAAAGAAAAAGAUAACUUGAAAGAUGUUUGCAACUUUAGCUGGACUCAAACUGAAAGUUUCAAGCAAGAAAUAUGCUUAUACCUUGUAAAACCCAAUGCAUAAUCAGAAUAGGUUGAGAGGCAGAAGUAACUGCUAAUGACGAACAGGGGAGAAGUUGAAGAAAGAGCACUAGCAUUGAAUAGGUAAACCAUUCCCUAGUCUAAUAAUCCAGCCUAAUCCCUGAUAUAAACCCAUUGGGAAUAUCCAGUGGCAUAUGAGCACAUCUCCCAUCACUCUCAAACUGAAAGCCAUGGAAAACAAGCAUACACAACAUAAAUACCACUUCAAUUGUAAGCAUUGCCAGCCCCAAGCUUCAUUAAAAUGGAUGAGAACAAUCUCAAACCUUUAAUUUUUGGUUUAGAAAAGGAAAAAUUGCCCCAGCAGCCAGUAUUAGCUCCAAAGUACGGUUUUAAUUGCAUGGUCUAGAUAGCAACAUUUUUAUCAAGUCAAUAAUGCACAGCAGCCAAAAAUAGAAAAGCAACAAGCGGAAACCACAACAAACUGCACUACUCCAGUCAAUAGUAUUCAUACUGCAUCUACAAGAAACAACAAAGUACAGGACAGUUUGCACCAGCAAAACUCAUAAUGAAAGCUGAAAAGGCUAAAAUCGAAAAGCACAGACAAACAUAAACUUCACCCAACUGUGCUAAUUAAUUCACAACCCUAGAAGAAUUGUAUUUCUUAUCCUAUGAUCUACUGUAGAACUAUUCAAGCCAGCAGCAAAAACAUUGAAGCAGCAACAAGCUUUAUCCAUCAAAUCUCCCUUAAUUGAUCUAUAUGUUUGACUAUGCUGUCAUACUGUGCAAUCUUAACCACUCUAAGUAGGGAUAUGUGUUUCAUCACAUGGCAGGAUCCUUCCAGCUCUCUGCUAUGAAGAUAAUUCUUUGGAUUUUGGUUUUGUAUAGCCCAAAUAGAUUAGCUUCUCCACUAAUUUUUUCUCAGCAUUUACCUAAUAACACAAAGAAAGAGGAAAAGAAAAAUCAACAAACAGAAUUUAAGAUACGUUGAAUGAUAUAUAUACAGCUAUUAGUUUCUUUUUGAAAUCCAGGGGUUGAUUAACUUGAUUUCUUCAUAGCUCUUACAUACGCAGAGCUGUUUUCACAGGCGUUGUGUAUGUGCCUUUUGAGAGAGAGAGAGCGAGAGAGAGAACCUCAAGCAUGGGAGCGUUCUUAGGAAUAUUACACGCCAGAAUUAUAUUAAGACCAGUCUUUAACACUAAUCGUCGAGCAAUGCUAGAUCCCGUAUUAUCAGAAGCUCCUCCGAGUAAACAAGCAACACUCGCCGUAUUACUAGGCCGCGUCGGCGCAGCCGCGUACAAGUGGCCAAAUUUAGCAGAGUUACAGCUAAUCCAUGCAUAGAUCUGUUUGUGAAGGCGGAUGAUCUGUAAAUGAAGGGUAACAUCAUCGACGAUUUCGGUGAAGCAAUUGACCUGCAAGCCGCCGGCGGCAGCAUCGUCCUGUUGGGCGGAAGACGAAGAUGAUUCUUCUAGUUUGAGAUUUCCAAGAGAGCCAUUAAACCCAUCGAAUUCAAAAUUUUGACCACUCAUUGUUAAUCACAAUCACACAAGCUCAAUUUGUAGAUUUGAAACUCAAAGAGUGAGAGAGAGCAGGGAGAGGGUUAUUACUUGAGCCAAGAGUCAAAUAGGAUAGGAAUAGCACGCUACGUUUGCUGGAAAUUAAACUACGAGUCGUUUACCAUAUCCAUCAGGAGAACUCCAAGAUACAAUAACACUUAGAUGAAAUAUUGAUGAAACAGCAGGACAUAACCAGAGAGAACCAUUUCCAGUGUCAACUACAAGCAUUUCAACAGAUUCUAAGUACUGCAUACAUGUGAACAAGCUCCCAUCAAUAAUCCACUUGAUAUUGUAUUUGGAUGAUCAAAUAUUAAUCUUUGAUCCAGAGAAUGAAGGGCUUGAGAGAUAUGUAGAAUACACUGAUUGUUCAUCAAAAAGCGACAGACUUCCCUUUUCUGCUAUUCCGAGCAUGAAUUGUUCUCUCACAAGAUGCUAGCCUUCCGCUGGAUGACCAAACACAAUUGUCAUUCGCAACUUAAAAGAGUUUGCAUAUCUGUCCAUAUCAAUAUCAUUUAUUUCGGAGAUGAAAUACAUGGUAGGGGCAUCCACUCUCCAAAAGAACGACAACAAAUUUAAGUUGAAGAGAAUGUGCAAGAAAAAGCCUGGAAGAUUAAGAGAACAGAGUAGAAGUUUGGACCACCUGAAGC
rnacentral:misc_RNA from 1 species